rfam:Thermobaculum terrenum ATCC BAA-798 chromosome 1, complete sequence.
UUAGCCUUUAAAUCCAGUCCCGUGAGGCUGGCAAGGCAAGGACAAUCUGGCUAUAGCUAUAUAAAUAUGUCUGUUAGCCUAAGCUCCUGCCUGCCGCCUUGCGGAAAAAGCAGGAGCUUUUAUUA